rnacentral:sRNA from 1 species
AAAUUGACAUAAUUUAAGAAUUAGUUUUGCCUAUAGCUGCACCUCAGUGUGUGUUUAUUUUGCCCUUGAGCUUGGACAGAGCAUCAUGGGGUGAGGACAUGUUGUAGAGGUUGUUCUUUACUUCUUGGCAGAUAGAAGGCUGAGAGCAGAGGACACAGGAAUUGAAUGGGGUAAGGACAUGCCCUAGUGACCUACUUUCUCCAAUUCGUCCCUAACUCUUAACCUACAGCAUGUCCCAUAUAUCAUCAUGUUCUAAUCCAUCAAAGGGCUAAUACAUUCAUUAGGUCAAAGCCUUCAGGAUCCGUUGUCAUUGUAAAUGCUACCAGAGGCACACCUCUUCGUCACUAACCCACUAGGCAUUUGUUGGCCUAAUCAAGCUGGCAAUCAAACUUAAUCAUCAGAAAGCUUAGUGUCUCAGAAUAAGCCUGUUAAUUUAUAAAUCCAAAUCUUUGCAACAUUAAUUUAUACUUCAUAUUACAAAAAAAUGGGUAAAUGUGUACACAGGCAUGGACCAGGGUAGAGCUGGGUGUUGAAAUCUUUCUCUGGGGGGUCUAUCAUUUAGGAAUGGCUUAGUGUAAUCAAAUCAUACUUGCUUUCUCACACCAACCAUGGUGUCUCAGGCCUGUAAUUUCAGCACUUGGGACACUGAGACAGGAGGAUUGCCUCAUGUAUGAAGCAAGUCAGUGUGAGCUCCAUAGUAAGCUCUAGGCCCAUCUGAACUACAGCGAGAACCUGUCUCAAAAACACAAACAAAAAUGACUGCUUACAGGUUGUUGAUUAGAUUUUAGAAUAUACUCAGGGGAGAGAACACAAAGAUAGUGGCCUCAGAGAAUAAGCUGGGAUUUUGUAGUUAGUCCAUACGGAUUUGAAUCCCCAGUUUGCUUUGCUCUCACCCUUUCCUGUGACCUUAAAUUGGGCGGGAGGGCUGCAGGAGUGCCGGGUUCCAUCUGGAGCCUCAUUGGCAUGAGCAACACACAAUGGCGUCUUCGGAAUCUGCAUAUUUGAUAAAUGUGUCACUUGCUAUCUUUGUCAUUUUUACUUUCACGCAGUUCGGCAGGAGCUUAGCACCGAGGAGCCCUUGACUAGGAAGCUUAUGGAGCAAUUAAGCCCUUUCCUUGGGGACUCUAGACCUGAUGACGGCCGGUGCAUAGAGAUGAGCAGUUGUAGGUUUGUCUCCCUCUUGCCAGAGAAAAAUGAAAUACUCCAAAACUCAUCAAGGACUUGUGCUGUAUUUCAAUGAGCCAUGUGUAUUUUGUAUAUUGUGUAAUUAAUCUGGAAAACGACUCAUCUCAUAAACUCGGGGAACAGGCUCAUCUUCUAUUUAAUUUCUUUUAAUUAGAUAGUCCCAAGAAAGCACUGAAUAUCUGCAAGAUCUGACUCCUACCCACAUGAUUGAACGGUCAGUAAGUAAUGCUAAACAGAUGAUGGCCUUGUGCACAACACAAAUGCCCAGAGACCCACUCUUUGUACCCCCCUCCCCUGUCCCCCAAUCAGUCUUUCAGUUAGGUAUUGUCUGAAAUGUUAUCCUCACCAAAUCCUGGAGCUCUGGCAAAUGAGGUUACUUGCCCCAAAUCACAGGGAGCUUUUCUCUUUGCAAAGCCAGGUCACUGAAGAUCUGGACUCUUCAGUUAAGCACUUCUGCAUUCACAUCCCAGGCUGAUGGUAUCUGGCCAUGUGACACCAUCAGCAUGUGUACGUGUCCCUGUCAGGAUCCAGGCUCACCUUGAACUCACCACCCUAAUGAAUGUUGCCUCGCUUCUGAUGCCCUACACUGAUGGUGCCACCAGGGCCUGCUUCCAUCUACCUUCCAUAUCUGUCUCUGGGACACAGAACGGAAAAUGACAGAAAUUAACACUCUUUGAAAGCAACCUUAGUUGAGACUAGGCUUGGUGAAAGGUCUUCAAUUGGCUAACUCUGAGAUAGAAACUUGGCACUGUCCCUGCAAGAUUAAGCUCUGGCUACAAUGUGAUUGACAGUGCCCCACUUUGUUGGUCAUUUUCCCUUUCUCAUCCCAGGUUCACAUUUCCCUCAAGAGUGCUUCUUGAGAACUCUUAAAUAAACACCCUGAACUUGGAUCCCCAUCUAAGACCCAGGAAGACAAGCAUGUGUCACCUUGGCUGCUCUUCUGGGUCCUAUUUGUGAUAUUGAUUCCAAGCAGGAGCACUGAAUGUGCCAACUUUUCAACAGGUCUAGUAUUGAUGGUUCCUUUGACCCAACUCUAGAUUAAUUUCUCCUGAGAACUAUUUGACUUAGCUGCCCCUGCCCAAAAUUGAUUAUACUAGGUGAAAAUUCAUAUGCACACAGCCUCCAUACAUCACCUCCCCAGUAACAGGCAUGCUUCAUUCUUAACACUAUAAAGGAGAAAGUUUAUCUACUCAUUCACAUCUGUCCAUUCACAUCUGUCCAUCCAUCAAUUCAUCCAUUCUUUCUUUUACUAUCUAAAUAGUUACACUGUUCUGGACUGUACCUGAUUCUUGGGGUUCACUGUUGACUGAGACACUGACUCUAUAAACUUCUCAGCAUAGGAUAGCAAAAAUCAGGGUCACUGACACUGCUGCUCCCAGGAAUAACAGACACCUUCCACAUUUCAAUCUACACAGUUUCAGUACAGCCUCAUGGACAGUUCCAUGUACCUGGCCAGGACCAUUGACCUCAUGGAUCAUCAGCUACACGAGAGAUCAACUUUGCAGAGAAGCAAUUUAUACCAAGGAGUUAACGCUCAAUUAUAAGGAAAUGUUUCUAUGUUGUUUCUAAGAAUGUCCCCAAAGAGUCUUGGAGACCCUUUUCCCCUUAGUGGUAAUUAGUUAAGUAGCACACGCUUUACUGGAUUCCCACCCUGCUCUUACUUCUGUUCACAAAUGAAUUAUUUGCCCCAGCUCCUUGCUUCACUGUCUACACUGGGGGAGGGAGGGGACUUUACUAAGAUACUAUGAUAGACAUGACAAAUGAACAAAACUCAUAAAUAAUAAAGAGACCUGCUGCAAGUAGACCUGUUAUUGAUAAAGAAAGACACCCCCCCCACACACACACACAUUACUACCUAUGAUGAGAGAACACAGCUCCUAAGCGUGUGUCCAGUUGGUUUGGCUGACUCAGGGAAAUACUGAGCAUUAGGAUUGUGAGAUGUGUUGUAUACUAGGGACUUUAUUCACAUCAUCUCUGCCAUCUUCCCGUGACACAGGCAUUAGUUAAUCACAUUAUAUAAAUGUAGAAAUUGAGGUCCAUUAAGAUAGCUAAAGGCCACAAGAUGACUGAAAGAUCUCUCAACCG